rnacentral:rRNA from 1 species
UACGUAGGGGGCAAGCGUUGUCCGGAUUUAUUGGGCGUAAAGAGCGUGUAGGCGGUUUGGUAGGUCCGCUGUGAAAACUCGAGGCUCAACCUCGAGACGCCGGUGGAAACCAUCAGGCUAGAGUCCGGAAGAGGAGAGUGGAAUUCCUGGUGUAGCGGUGAAAUGCGCAGAUAUCGGGAGGAACACCGGUGGCGAAGGCGGUUCUCUGGGCCUGUACUGACGCUGAGGAGCGAAAGCGUGGGGAGCGAACAGG